GCAGCAGUGAGGAAUAUUGGUCAAUGGGCGAGAGCCUGAACCAGCCAAGUAGCGUGAAGGAUGACUGCCCUAUGGGUUGUAAACUUCUUUUAUAAAGGAAUAAAGUCGGGUAUGGAUACCCGUUUGCAUGUACUUUAUGAAUAAGGAUCGGCUAACUCCGUGCCAGCAGCCGCGGUAAUACGGAGGAUCCGAGCGUUAUCCGGAUUUAUUGGGUUUAAAGGGAGCGUAGAUGGAUGUUUAAGUCAGUUGUGAAAGUUUGCGGCUCAACCGUAAAAUUGCAGUUGAUACUGGAUAUCUUGAGUGCAGUUGAGGCAGGCGGAAUUCGUGGUGUAGCGGUGAAAUGCUUAGAUAUCACGAAGAACUCCGAUUGCGAAGGCAGCUUGCUGGACUGUAACUGACGCUGAUGCUCGAAAGUGUGGGUAUCAAACAGGAUUAGAUACCCUGGUAGUCCACACAGUAAACGAUGAAUACUCGCUGUUUGCGAUAUACAGUAAGCGGCCAAGCGAAAGCGUUAAGUAUUCCACCUGGGGAGUACGCCGGCAACGGUGAAACUCAAAGGAAUUGACGGGGGCCCGCACAAGCGGAGGAACAUGUGGUUUAAUUCGAUGAUACGCGAGGAACCUUACCCGGGCUUGAAUUGCAACUGAAUGAUGUGGAGACAUGUCAGCCGCAAGGCAGUUGUGAAGGUGCUGCAUGGUUGUCGUCAGCUCGUGCCGUGAGGUGUCGGCUUAAGUGCCAUAACGAGCGCAACCCUUAUCGAUAGUUACCAUCAGGUUAUGCUGGGGACUCUGUCGAGACUGCCGUCGUAAGAUGUGAGGAAGGUGGGGAUGACGUCAAAUCAGCACGGCCCUUACGUCCGGGGCUACACACGUGUUACAAUGGGGGGUACAGAAGGCAGCUACACGGCGACGUGAUGCUAAUCCCUAAAGCCUCUCUCAGUUCGGAUUGGAGUCUGCAACCCGACUCCAUGAAGCUGGAUUCGCUAGUAAUCGCGCAUCAGCCACGGCGCGGUGAAUACGUUCCCGGGCCUUGUACACACCGCCCGUCAAGCCAUGGGAGCCGGGGGUACCUGAAGUGCGUAACCGCGAGGAGCGCCCUAGGGUAAAACUGGUGAUUGGGGCUAAGUCGUAACAAGGUAGCCGUACCGGAAGGUGCGGCUG
rnacentral:rRNA from 1 species